UAAGGUCACGGCAAGACGAGCCGUUUAUCACCACGCGAUAGGUGCUAAGUGGAGGUACAGUAAUGUAUGCAGCUGAGGCAUCCUAACAGACCGAGAGUUUGAAC
rnacentral:rRNA from 1 species